rnacentral:lncRNA from 1 species
GUAACACUCACCGCGAGGCUCCGCGGCUUCAUUCUUGAAUUCAUUUUCAGUGAACCUUCAGAGAAUGAUGGGCAGGUUUUCCCUUGGCCCCCACAGUUUUGGCACUGUGAGCAGGAUACCAAAACCACUCUGUUCUUCUGGAAGCCACAGCCCAGGGAACCUAGGAUCUGAGAAGUUCACAAAAGGACACACUUCCUGCCACUGCUGAGAACUGACUGGUGAGUGGAUGAGGCAAACAUCUUCCCAGGUCAUGAGGGGAAAGGCUGCUGAGACUUAGCUUGUGUUGAAGUCUGAAUGGAAGCCAUUUAUGGAUAUGCAAAGAGGAAUGGAUAAUUGAUGAAGCAUGGUAACAAAGAUUAUUUUCAUCUGAGUACAAAGAUAAAGGUUGCCAUAGCCAUUGGAGAUCACACCAUGACUUGCUUCCCGACCACCUGGAUUUUAUGUGAAGUCACAUGUUCUUAGAAAAACAGACUUUUAAGACACUCUUCUGCGAUCUGACAUUUUCAAGUCUGUUGGGCUCAACAUGCAAGAACGAGAUCAGCCUACAGUACAGACUGGGAUGUACCCUCAGAUCCCUGAGCUGGAAGGAGAAGGGGCAAGAGAGGAUUGGGGUCCAGAGCCAAAGAGGACUGAGGGAGACAAAGGCAGCUGAGACAAAAUGACCCAUUAUCAGAAGCCCUACGUAAAGCCAAGAAACAAGCCAGACUAAAUCCCCAGCAACUGCAUUGAAGCCAGCAGAAGAAGUGCAAUCAGGUGGCUUGGCAGGAGCAGCAUCCACUUUUUCUUGGGCAUUCUUUUCACAGUGUAGUUAAAUGUACAGCAGCAUAUCCUAGUCCAAUUGUAUUACUUAUUUAUUUUCUAUCUGCCAUACUCUAGAAUAUAAAUAUAGUAAUGAAGGAAUUUUUUAGUUUAACUGCCUUAAAUCUUCAGCAAACAGAACCCUACUGAGCACUUAGUGCAUACUCCAAAAAUAUUUUCGAAAGAAAACUUAACAAAUACAUACUGAAUAGAUAAAUGCGUAACAAUUGCAGGAAUAAAGGGAGUAAUGUUCUGCUAAAAGUGUUAUCUCUGAUUAUUGCAUUUCAUUAGUUUAUUAGUGAGAUGGACCAUGAGAAAACAGAAGAGGAAAGCCCAAAAGGGCAGAGGUGUGGGCAGAGAAGUGUGUAAAAGUUGAAGCCAAACAUGCAAUUAUUCUUUUCAUUGAAUUUCAUUAUGUUUAACUAUGUGGUUUACGUAAAGCCAAAAUUAUUACUUGAGUAAUUUUUUUUCUAAUUUUUAAAGUUGUCUAUAUGUCCCUGACCAUGGUAUUUACCUGACAGAAAAUUUUACUCCAAUUUUACUGGGAGUUUUAUGACCACUUAAGACCUUGACCUUUCACCAUCCCUCCAAAAUGGGAAUUAGAGUCAGCAUUGACUUUGCUUGUUAUCAUUGAAAAAACUAUGCUCCAGAUAAAACUUUGCUUUCAGUGGCUAAUGCAAGUUUCUUAUUCAUGUGUUCAUUAUGAGUGAACUUGACCAUUGCAAUAGUUUCCAUAAUCGCUUCCCUACCGUUAGAACAAUUUUUGAUGAUAUCACCCUCAUGCUUCACUUGCUUAAUUAGACCUUAGUGCAUCAAUGAGUCUUUUUAACUUUCUUCUGCAGAGGCUCUUCUUGCCCAGGGCUAACCUCUGUCUCUAAGUUUUAUGCUGUUCUUUUUAGCCAAGGCUUUUUAUAUUUGAGUACAGUUGCUUUCUAGACAAUGUAAGAUUUAUUGAUAACAAAAUGUAUCUUUACCCAUUUAUUUAAUACUGUCUGAGUGGGGAAGGGAUUUGAUGUUUAUUGAAUAACUACUAUGUAUAAGGUUGUGUGUCAUGCAUGUCACAUUCAUGGUUUUACUUAAAAUUAAGAUAUUAUUUUUCUUAUAGUAAACUAAUAGAUAAUUGUUCACUGUAAAAAUUUCAGGGAUGCAAAAAUUUACAAUACAGAAAACAAAGUUAACUAAACUUCUAUCCCAGCCCAGAUUUAGCCAUUUUUAAUAUUUUGAGGUAUGAUGAGGUAGAAAAAUAUAGUUUUUCUAUAGGUAUAUUUAACACAUAUAUACAGUUGUGUUCUUAUCAUCUCAUUUAAAGAUGUCUACCAUAUUUUGAGGAUUUUCACAUUUUAUUAAAAUAUUUUUGAAACAUCCUAUGUAAUGACAAAUUCUAUUGCAAAAUAUUUGUGCUCUUUCUAAUGGGCAAUUGAAAUUGCAACUGAUGGAUUCAAAAGCAUGAGUUCAAACAGAGAACAAAAAAUUGGGGGGAUACAAUCUAACAUGGGCAAUAUUCUCAGGGUAUGGUGCUCAUAUGUUAUGUUUAGUUUACUUUAAAAGUGAUUUUAAAAGUAUGAUUUCUUAUGCUGUAUGAGAAUUUUGCAAUGGUCUGGCUCUGUGUCCCCACCCAAAUCUCAUCUUGAAUUGUAAUCCAAAUUGUAACCCCCAUGUGUUGACGGGGGGACCAUGUGGGAGGUGAUUGGAUCAUGGGGGCAGUCCCCUCAUGCUGUUCUCGUGAUAGUGAGUGAGUUCUCAUGAGAUCUGGAGGUUUUACAAGGGGCUUUCCCCACUUCACUCUGCAUCUUUUUUUCUUGCCACCAUGUGAAGAAGAAUGUGUUUGUUUCCCCUUUUGCCAGGACUGUAAGUUU